ensembl:snRNA U6 U6 spliceosomal RNA
GUGCUGGCUUUGGCAGCAUACAUACUAAAACUGGAGCAACAAGGAGACUGUUAGCAUGCCCCCUGCACAAGGAUGAUGUGAAAGUUCAUGAAGUGUUCCGUAAUUUA